UGAUUCAUGGCUCAGGACGAACGCUGGCGGCGUGCUUAACACAUGCAAGUCGAACGGAAAGGCCCUUCGGGGUACUCGAGUGGCGAACGGGUGAGUAACACGUGGGUGAUCUGCCCUGCACUUUGGGAUAAGCCUGGGAAACUGGGUCUAAUACCGAAUAUGACCAUGCGCCUCCUGGUGUGUGGUGGAAAGCUUUUGCGGUGUGGGAUGGGCCCGCGGCCUAUCAGCUUGUUGGUGGGGUAAUGGCCUACCAAGGCGACGACGGGUAGCCGGCCUGAGAGGGUGACCGGCCACACUGGGACUGAGAUACGGCCCAGACUCCUACGGGAGGCAGCAGUGGGGAAUAUUGCACAAUGGGCGCAAGCCUGAUGCAGCGACGCCGCGUGAGGGAUGACGGCCUUCGGGUUGUAAACCUCUUUCAGCACAGACGAAGCGCAAGUGACGGUAUGUGCAGAAGAAGGACCGGCCAACUACGUGCCAGCAGCCGCGGUAAUACGUAGGGUCCGAGCGUUGUCCGGAAUUACUGGGCGUAAAGAGCUCGUAGGUGGUUUGUCGCGUUGUUCGUGAAAACUCACAGCUUAACUGUGGGCGUGCGGGCGAUACGGGCAGACUUGAGUACUGCAGGGGAGACUGGAAUUCCUGGUGUAGCGGUGGAAUGCGCAGAUAUCAGGAGGAACACCGGUGGCGAAGGCGGGUCUCUGGGCAGUAACUGACGCUGAGGAGCGAAAGCGUGGGGAGCGAACAGGAUUAGAUACCCUGGUAGUCCACGCCGUAAACGGUGGGUACUAGGUGUGGGUUUCCUUCCUUGGGAUCCGUGCCGUAGCUAACGCAUUAAGUACC
rnacentral:rRNA from 1 species